ACACUACUGACGAGUCCCAAAUAGGAUGAAACAGCUGUCCAUUGCUCUGUAU
rfam:Echinostoma caproni strain Egypt genome assembly, scaffold: ECPE_scaffold0000183